CAAAAACCGCAAAACCGGGAAGGGGAAGAGAAUACACGGUUGUUAAGUGGUUGCUAAAGUCUUACAAUCAGCAAUUAUGAUCUUAAGACAUAGACAAAUCACAUCUUCAUUAUUAGCCCAGGUAACCCAGGUGCAACCUUUUUACUUUUAAGCUUGAGCAAUCAUGCUAGGGGGUUUUUGUGCGUUGCCAAGGGUGAUGUAGUGCACUGCUAUUGUCCGAUUAUUUGAGAUCAUAGUUUCAGACCGGAGUCUCACGGUGGGGGGGUUCUUUCCCAGAAUGCAGUCUCAAGUGCUCCAAAAUGGAGUCCCUACUGUCAAGGUGCUACUUCACUCUGUUUUAUUUUUACAGCUGCACCAGGAAGGUUUAAACCUGUAAGCUUAACUUUUUACACCCACACAUAUACAAUUUUAACUCUUCAACUUCUCUCCCUUAAUAGUAGUAAACAGCUUUAACAACAGAUCCUGACUUGACCCCUUUUAGGUUGGUGUCUUACUAUACUUCAGACCUGAAUGAAUGAAAGAAUGAUCCAGUUCAUGAGCUAGACUCCAUACUGAAGCUAUGUCUCAAGCUCCUAUUAGAACAUGUAGAGGCUUAACCUGGUUUGCCACAAUGCUGGACCCUUUUCAAGAUUUUAAGAUGAUUGACAUCGAUAUUUUCCAGCAACACAAAAAUCUGAAUGCUGAGAACGAUCUUCAUUCUCGCAGUAGGUGUGGCAAACAGACUCAUUUUUCAAGGAGUAAAACGAUGCAUAAAAUGUUUUAAUAAUGUUUCCAGGUAGCAGAACUUUAAUAGUCUAUGAUCUUUAUAGAUUUCAUCUUUGGACUGUAUCCAUUUGUGAAUGACCCUGAAAGUUAUCAUGAGAAAUGGUAAUAUGCCAUUUUGCUAAAACACAAAUGUUAAUUUCAUGCAACCACGAACCUGGUACUAGUAAUUGAAUAACAAGGGUCUAGUUAACCGAUCACUCAGUCUGUUCAGCUCAACAUUGCUCUGCUGUUAUUUAUCAUAUCAUUAAUAAUAUUUUACAGAUAAGCAAUAAUACAGUCAAUUUACCAAUACACCAAUCUUAUACUAGAGUAACGCUAAUAUACUGCAGAGUCAGGAAGAUCUUGAGACACAUCCCUCAUUAAAAUCAGAAAACUGGGGUUAGCAUUGUGGCAUGGUAGGUAAAAGCCCUGCCUGUGACACCGGUAUCACACAUGGGUGCCAGUUUGUGUCACGACUGCUCUAUUUCCAAUCCAGCUCCCUGCUAAUGUCCUGAGAAAAGCAGUGGAAGAUGACCCAAGUGUUUGUGCCCCUGCUACCCAAAUGGGAGACCUGGAUGAAGCUCCUGGUUCCUGGCUUUGGCCUGGCCUAGCCCUGGCCAUUGCAUCCAUCUGUGAAGUGAACCACCAGAUGGAAGAUCUGUGUGUGUGUGUGUCUUGAUUAAUCCAUAGUCAACAUGUUUGAGCUUCUAAUACUAUAUUACAUUGUACAUGAUUGGAACUCAGUGAAGUCUAUAUUCAAUGAAUAAUUCUAAAAACAUAUGCACUGUGAACCUAAAAGUGCUCUGAAAAAUACAGUCUAUUAAAAAAUU